AAAGGGAGCGCNGGCGGUCAGGAAAGUCUGGAGUAAAAGGCUAUGGNUCAACCAUAGUGUGCUCUGGAAACUNUCUGACUUGAGUGCAGAAGGGGAGAGUGGAAUUCCAUGUGUAGCGGUGAAAUGCGUAGAUAUAUGGAGGANCACCAGUGGCGAAAGCGGCUCUCUGGUCUGUCACUGACGCUGAGGCUCGAAAGCGUGGGUAGCGAACAGGAUUAGAUACCCUGGUAGUNCACGCCGUAAACGAUGAGUGCUAGGUGUUAGGCCCUUUCCGGGGCUUAGUGCCGGAGCUAACGCAAUAAGCACUCCGCCUGGGGAGUACGACCGCAAGGUUGAAACUCAAAGGAAUUGACGGGGGCCCGCACAAGCGGUGGAGCAUGUGGUUUAAUUCGAAGCAACGCGAAGAACCUUACCAGGUCUUGACAUCCCGAUGCUAUUCUUAGAGAUAGGAAGUUACUUCGGUACAUCGGAGACAGGUGGUGCAUGGUUGUCGUCAGCUCGUGUCGUGAGAUGUUGGGUUAAGUCCCGCAACGAGCGCAACCCUUAUUGUUAGUUGCCAUCAUUAAGUUGGGCACUCUAGCGAGACUGCCGGUAAUAAACCGGAGGAAGGUGGGGAUGACGUCAAAUCAUCAUGCCCCUUAUGACCUGGGCUACACACGUGCUACAAUGGUCGGUACAACGAGUUGCGAGCCGGUGACGGCAAGCUAAUCUCUGAAAGCCGAUCUCAGUUCGGAUUGGAGGCUGCAACUCGCCUCCAUGAAGUCGGAAUCGCUAGUAAUCGCGGAUCAGCACGCCGCGAUGAAUACGUUCCCGGGCCUUGUACACACCGCCCGUCACACCACGAGAGUUUGUAACACCCGAAGUC
rnacentral:rRNA from 1 species